rnacentral:rRNA from 1 species
AGUGGCGGACGGGUGAGUAACACGUAAGAAUUUGCCUUCAGGAGGGGGACAACAACUGGAAACGGUUGCUAAUACCCCAUAUGCUUUCGAGUGAAAUGGAUUUUUCCGCCUAAAGAGAAGCUUGCGGCUGAUUAGCUUGUUGGUGAGGUAAUGGCUCACCAAGGCGACGAUCAGUAUCUGGUUUGAGAGGAUGAUCAGACACACUGGAACUGAGACACGGUCCAGACUCCUACGGGAGGCAGCAGUGGGGAAUUUUCCGCAAUGGGCGAAAGCCUGACGGAGCAAUCUCGCGUGAGGGAUGACGGCCUAUGGGUUGUAAACCUCUUUUUUCAGGGAGGAACAAAAUGACGUGUACCUGAAGAAUAAGCAUCGGCUAACUCCGUGCCAGCAGCCGCGGUAAGACGGAGGAUGCAAGUGUUAUCCGGAAUCACUGGGCGUAAAGCGUCUGUAGGUGGUUUAAUAAGUCAACUGUUAAAUCUUGAAGCUCAACUUCAAAAUCGCAGUCGAAACUAUUAGACUAGAGUAUAGUAGGGGUAAAGGGAAUUUCCAGUGGAGCGGUGAAAUGCGUAGAUAUUGGAAAGAACACCGAUGGCGAAGGCACUUUACUGGGCUAUUACUGACACUCAGAGACGAAAGCUAGGGUAGCAAAUGGGAUUAGAUACCCCAGUAGUCCUAGCCGUAAACAAUGGAUACUAGAUGU